UACGUAGGGGGCGAGCGCUGUCCGGAAUUACUGGGCGUAAAGGUUACGCAGGCGGUUUCAUAAGUCAGGUGUAAAAGGCAUUGGCUCAACCAAUGUAAGCAUUUGAAACUGGCAGGCUUGAGUCUGGUAGAGGAAAGUGGAAUUCCUGGUGUAGCGGUGAAAUGCGCAGAUAUCAGGAGGAAUACCAAAGGCGAAGGCAGUCUUCUAAGCCGUUAUUGACGCUAAACUGCGAAGGUGUGGGUAUCAAACA
rnacentral:rRNA from 1 species